rnacentral:rRNA from 1 species
GACGAACGCUGGCGGCGUGCCUAAUACAUACAAGUAGAACGCUGAAGGAGAAGCUUGCUUCUCCGGAUGAGUUGCGGACGGGUGAGUAACGCGUAGGUAACCUGCCUGGUAGUGGGGGAUAACUAUUGGAAACGAUAGCUAAUACCGCAUAAUAGCAGUUGUUGCAUGACAACUGUUUGAAAGGUGCAAUUGCACCACUACCAGAUGGACCUGCGUUGUAUUAGCUAGUUGGUGGGGUAACGGCUCACCAAGGCGACGAUACAUAGCCGACCUGAGAGGGUGAUCGGCCACACUGGGACUGAGACACGGCCCAGACUCCUACGGGAGGCAGCAGUAGGGAAUCUUCGGCAAUGGACGGAAGUCUGACCGAGCAACGCCGCGUGAGUGAAGAAGGUUUUCGGAUCGUAAAGCUCUGUUGUAAGAGAAGAACGAGUGUGAGAGUGGAAAGUUCACACUGUGACGGUAUCUACCAGAAAGGACG